rnacentral:tRNA from 1 species
UCCAGGGUAGCCUAGUGGACAUGGCAUCUGCCCGGUAAGCGGAAGGUCGUGGGUUCGUUUCCCAUCCCUGGAC